UAGGGAAUCUUCCGCAAUGGGCGAAAGCCUGACGGAGCAACGCCGCGUGAGUGAUGAAGGCCCUAGGGUUGUAAAGCUCUUUCACCGGUGAAGAUAAUGACGGUAACCGGAGAAGAAGCCCCGGCUAACUUCGUGCCAGCAGCCGCGGUAAUACGAAGGGGGCUAGCGUUGUUCGGAUUUACUGGGCGUAAAGCGCACGUAGGCGGACUUUUAAGUCAGGGGUGAAAUCCCGGGGCUCAACCCCGGAACUGCCUUUGAUACUGGAAGUCUUGAGUAUGGUAGAGGUGAGUGGAAUUCCGAGUGUAGAGGUGAAAUUCGUAGAUAUUCGGAGGAACACCAGUGGCGAAGGCGGCUCACUGGACCAUUACUGACGCUGAGGUGCGAAAGCGUGGGGAGCAAACAGG
rnacentral:rRNA from 1 species